UAUUACACACAUGAAUCUCUAUUAGCGAUGUAUUUUCCAAUUCUAAAUUAAUUCCAACACUCCCCUUUAAUUUAGAGUUUGACUCCAUAGUUUGGGCACAUGACUCUUCACAUGUAUUGGGAAAAACCUUGAGCUCCUUCAUCGCUUCCUACUGGGUUGUGAUCUCUUGAUAUUUUUCAGCAGGACCCUAUUUUGCAGCCUAUGGUCGUGUCCCCUCAAAACGGUCCCUAACUGUUCUUUCAACAGACCAACCAGUUUCGUAAUCUCGGACAAUAAUCUCCUUCCAACACCUACUCGAGCACAGACCAGCCGUCUCACUAUUCAUAGGCCUCCGCUGUGAUUUCACCUAUGUCUUGGAACAACCUUCUGAUUGCCUCACUGUAACUGGUUUAGACCUUCAAUCGACCAACUCUAGACCCUCAAUGGAUUGGACCAUAUAUUGAUUCUUGAUAGAACUACCCAAUGUACCAAUCUUGAUCGUUCAUCUUGUCAGUCCCAAAACGACCUUAACCGACUGAGGUAAUCCGAACAGAAACAAAACUAAGCAACCACGAUUUAUCACAAUUGACAUUCUCGGCAGCUCUGCCUAGGUAGCUUCACCCAACAAGAAGUAGUCCAAAUUCCUCCAGGAUGGCUUACACUUGUUGCUAUUCACUUCUCCGGGUAGCCCUCUCCUAAGUAGCCCUUUCCAUGACUCGAACAGCCAACUUGAACCCAUAAACAUUCAUGAGUUAACCUAAUCUUAUGGUUGCCAAACUGCUUUUGUUAUCCCAAAGGCUCAUCCCCACUCUAACAAAAUCAUUUGAUUGUUGCCAACAACACAUUCAUAUCUUUGACAAUCAGCUAUCUCAUAGCUCUAGAUUGUCAAGCCCAUAGAAACCCAAUUUUUGAGAGAAAUAGUAAAAUGAAACAUUUAGGCUAAAUCACAUAACCCCGCCCCUAGUACAUCCUCGGUCACUCAUCGAAGAAAUGAAGGAACCCAUAGAGAAAUCGCAAAGGAUGAACAAAACAAGCCACAAACCCGAGCCCCGAAACAAAACCUGUUUCAUCGCUCCACCGUGUCAAGAGCCGACCAUCCUUGCAUCCCUAUGAACCAUGUGAAACCCACAUGAAACCUUCUCCCUACAUUUUCCCCCUCACACUCUCCCUCUGUCCCUCUCUUCAUGUGUGUGUUAAAGCAUGGCCUUUAACACACGCAUGAAGAGCACUUCCAAAUUAUUUCAGUGUUACCCUAGUGUGAACCUUGGAGUUCCCCAAGUACAGCUCUUGCCCAUUAAGAACAUUCUUCAAAAUCUUCUUUGACCAACUCAUGCAACAUUAAAGUCACUAAAGACUUCAAUGGUCCAGCACCUCUUUCGAGCUACCACCAAGUAAUUCCAAUGCAAGUCCUUCAUGUUUCCCCAAAAAAAAUGUGAACCAUACUUGAAUUUUAACCAAUCCCAACAAUCUCCACCUUGGUGAAAAUUCCACAGGAACCAUUGUACUCCACCAAGGGUUGUAAACCAUGGGCCUUCGCAAUCAAAUCACUAGCUACACAAAACCGAAUCAGCAAACUUAUCCUGUCUCAACCUGAUUCUCGAAAUUCGGCCAUCACAUGUGUAUAUAAAACACGAGCUAAAAAUCACUGUUAACUCCAGAAUAGGGCGUCAAUUACCCAUCCUCCGCCAGCAAGAUUUUUCCUCACAUCUGUCUAUGCCCUAUUAUAAUUUGCAUGCAUCCAUGGAGAUCAUCCGACGACGACGAGAGACUAUUUUCAAGGCUUUACCUGGGACUUGUUACACCCCCACCCA